rnacentral:rRNA from 1 species
AGCAGCCGCGGUAAUUCCAGCUCCAAUAGCGUAUAUUAAAGUUGUUGCAGUUAAAAAGCUCGUAGUUGAACCUCGGGAUCGAUGGAUCGGUCAUGCCAUCGGUAUGUACUGGUCCCAUCGGUUCUCACCUUCUAAGGAACCAUGAUGUCAUUCAUUUGAUGUUUUGGGGAAUUAGGACUGUUACCUUGAAAAAAUUAGAGUGUUUAAAGCAGGCCAACGCUUGAAUACAUUAGCAUGGAAUAAUGAAAUAGGACAUCGCAUUCUAUUUUGUUGGUUUCUAGGAUCGAUGUAAUGAUUAAUAGGGAUAGUUGGG